rnacentral:rRNA from 1 species
UACGUAGGGAGCGAGCGUUGUCCGGAUUCAUUGGGCGUAAAGAGCUCGUAGGCGGCUUGGUAAGUCGGAUGUGAAACCUCCAGGCUCAACCUGGAGUCGCCAUCCGAUACUGCUAUGGCUAGAGUCCGGUAGGGGCCCACGGAAUUCCUGGUGUAGCGGUGAAAUGCGCAGAUAUCAGGAGGAACACCGGUGGCGAAGGCGGGGCUCUGGGCAACAACUGACGCUGAGGCACGAAGGUCAGGGGAGCAAACGGG